GUCACGGGGAGCCUGUGCCUAUCUCAGGCGUCAUCGGGCAUCAAGGCAGGAUACACCCUGGACGGAGUGCCAACCCAUCGCAGGGCACACACACACUCAUUCACUCACGCAAUCACACACUACGGACAAUUUAUCCAGAGAUACCAAUCAACCUACCAUGCAUGUCUUUGGACCGGGGGAGGAAACCGGAGUACCCGGAGGAAACCCCCGAGGCACGGGGAGAACAUGCAAACUCCACACACACAAGGUGGAGGCGGGAAUCGAACCCCCAACCCUGGAGGUGUGAGGCGAACGUGCUAAUCACUAAGACACCGUGCCCCCUAGAUCUCUAAUUUAUUUAUUUUAUUCAGUUCAAUACAAGUUUAUUUGUAUAGCGCUUUUUACAAUUGAUGUUGUCUCAAAUCAGCUUUACAGAACAUAAACAUAGAACAAAGGUUUAUUAUAAAGAAUAAUAUAAAGAUUAAUAGAAUAAAAAAUUCAAGAUUUAUAUAUAUUUAAAUGUAUAUGUGUUUAUCCCCAAUUAGCAAGUCUGAGGUGAUUCAGGUGACUGUGGGGAGAAAAAAACUCCCUUGAAUGGUAAAGGAAGGAACCUUGAGAGGAACCAGACUCAAAGCGGAACCUCAUCCUCAUUAUCGCAGAGUCCAACUGGAGCUGGAACAUCUCUAGAUGUCUCAGGAUCCUCACAGAGUCGGCCUCGUCUCAGUGGAGGUCCAAAAUCUUCAUCGCACAGAAGACAAUCUGAGCUGGUACAAUGUCUGGAUGCCUCGGGAUGGGUAGAAAGAGGGAAGCAGUGUAGAGGGAUUAACGUAUCUGCUGUUCAUAAUAUUAACAAGCACUAGAUGAUAAUGUGCAUUUGGUCAGAUGUAUUAGAGCACCAUAUUAUGGGAUGUAUUAUGUGUACACCUGACUAAAGAGAUGAGUUUUUUAAUCUACAUUUAAACUCGGAAAUAUUUGGUAACUAUUCCAAAGUUUGGGAGCUGAAUACAAAAAAAUGCUCUACCACCUUUAGUAGACGUUGAUAUUCUGGGAACUACCAGAAGUCCUGAGUUUUGUGAUCUCAGAGAGGGUGAAGGAUUGUAACGUGUUAGAAGACUAGUUAGAUACGUGGGAGCUAAACCAUUAAGAGCAAUGUUUUAUGUAUUCAACAAAUCUCACAUAUUUCAUGUUUCCAGUUAUGGUUAUUGGAUAUCAGAGGGGUUUCUGUUCCUUUUAUUUUCUUCCUCAUAUAUUAUUAAUAUAGCAAAGAACACAAACAAUCAGUUACUUACCUGCAUUAAACAGAAGAGUUUGGGAAAACAC